AGCAGCCGCGGUAAUUCCAGCUCCAAUAGCGUAUAUUAAAGUUGUUGCAGUUAAAAGCUCGUAGUUGAAUUUCGAGAUCAAUACGUCGGUCGUGCUUCGGUACGUACUGGCGUAAUUGAUUUCUCCCUUCUGACGAACCAUGAUGUCAUUAACUUGGUGUCAUGGGAAAUCAGGACUGUUACUUUGAAAAAUUGAGUGUUUAAAGCAGGCUCACGCUUGAAUACAUUAGCAUGGAAUAAUGAAAUAGGACGUUCGAUCCUAUUUUGUGGUUUUUAGGAU
rnacentral:misc_RNA from 1 species